rnacentral:lncRNA from 1 species
UUUUUUUCUCUCGACACCGGUUUUCUCCCCACCGAUUUUCUCCCUCUGCCGAUUUUCUUUUCUCCCUCCAAUCGACUCUAUCUUUGGUAAAGAAAUAAUUCACAUAAGGCAACCAAGCGGAAUCAAUCAACAAUCAAUCGAAACGCAAUCAAUUCAUGCAUGGCAAUCAAUUCAUUCAUGACGGUGAUAAAUCUCCUUCCUUCUUUCAAUCAAACGUUGAUCAAUCUCCUUCUUUCAAUCUCUUCCUUUUUCCUAUCACCAUGGUUUACUUGGCGCCAAUGAAAAUGAAAAUGAAAAUAGUCAGAUCAGUCAAUAUACGUCCUUGUGUUCUGAACCAUGAGUCGUGUUAGAAGAGAAAUCGGGUCUUAGCACUCAUGCCGAUGGGACCCAGGAUGGGCCGUCCUGGCUCAAAGAGGGUCAUGGCACCACCGCUUGUGAACUUCGUUCCCGCUCCCGUUGGCCCUCCACUGCCGAUCGCCAUGCAACAUUUUAUCCAUUCCUGCUUUUAGUUAUUUGCAUUAGGAAAUAUACAAAAUUGCGCUCUUUGUCAACCAAUUGCAGACAUGUAAGGUUCAGCGAAAUAAAAAACCUACAUAUAUCCAAUAGAGGUUGGGACGCAACGGCAAAGGUUUUGUAUGCUCGCAUCAAACAUACCCGGAGUGGAGCAGCCAUCUUUCACGCCAUCCUCAUCGACCAAACUGUAAGUAUUCAAAGAAGAUAUGCUAUCAAGUGAUCUGCUGAUAAUAUAUUCAACAUGCUGCUAAUGUAUGCAAUAGAUUUCCAGGGGGUCAAAAUGGAUGCAAUUGCAUUUGAUCCAUUUCAACCGAUCGCAUAUCGCUUCAGCGACAACCUACGUGCCGGCUCAGUACACUUAUUCAAAAAAGUUAGUUUUGAACCAGCAGCUAUGCAUCUGCCAGUUGCAUUGCCGGUGCCAUGUGACUUUUACAUCGUCCUCCACUCGCGCACUGAAAUACUUCUUGCCAGGGCCAGCAUUAACAUCCCUUCGUUGCCGCCACGAUUCAUUGAUUUUAUAGAUGUCUACAGCCUCAGAAACAGGAUGCUUGCAGGUGCAUUGUAUCAUCUCACAAUGAAUUUUGCUGACAUGUAGUUGAGCCAGACUUUCUUAACAAAUUCACAUCAUUUUUCCCAGAUGUCAUUGGCAUAGUGAUGCAUGUCAGCAAAAUAAUGUUACACAGGUCAGACGACCGUACCACACCAUACCGACAUGUGAUGCAUGGCAGUGGGCUAACAUUUUAUUGCUCAACCAGGAGGGAGUUUAUCUACCUACGUGUCUGGGACCAGCAUGUGUCACGCCACUUGAUGCGGUGGGGACUAGCAAAGCAGGGGCUCUGGACUUUAGGUGCCACACUGCUUGAGGUCAACAGAGCACAACGUGAGUGCUUGUGUAAUCGAAGAAUGUUUAACAUGACCAUCUUAUAUAAAAAUAUGGAUUGUAUGUUGUUUUAUUAAACCUAUUUUGUACGGUUCUUGAAAACGACAUACAUGAGCCAGCUUGUCUUCCAACCAGACAACCAGCAGUCCUACGAGCUGGCAGCCUGCCGUGCGGCACUAGGAGAUGCUCAACCGGGCCAGCUUGAUUGUUCAACGAACGAGCCAUGUUCACGUUCAACGAAUGAGGAGGGUUCAAGUCUGAUGCAAAAUUCACUUCGAUGCUCUAUAAUGAUGUUCAAAUGUUAUUAUAUUCGCACAGCCACUUAGUGUUCGUCGCCUCUAAAACAGCUUCACAAGGAUCUAUUUUUAUAGUACGUGUUGUCAUCAUUAUAAAUCCAGCUAGAUGAAAGAAAUCAAUGACAGAUGAGAUUCUAUCCGGGAUCAACUGCUAUAUCUAUGUUCUUUCCAUUUUUUUUGUUUCCCCACUAAUUCCUUGUGUAAUAAUGCGCAUUAACUCUAAUUAAUUAAUAUGGGAUCACUUUCCUAUCCAUGGUUGCAUAUAAGUCUGCUUGGCAUACGAACCUCACGCACUCUUCGUGGCAUUGGUUUCCUGCUCAUCUGUCCCUGCCUCCAAUUCAAUCAGCUUGACUAUCAACCCGGGUGCCACGCCGCUAAGAUAAACGCACGCAGACUCCUAUCUAAUUUGGUUCGGUAAGACCUAUAGUUUAUUCAUGUUUACCAUGUAUAAUUAGCCCCAUGUUUGUGAGCAUCGACUCUAUGCAAAGCGCAUCCUGUUUACUAUUUGGGCUUCGAGCAUAAUAGAAUAGUAUGCUUCAGAUGAGGUUGCAGAAAUACACGUACCCACAUAUAAUCGGUGACUGGCUGGGAGAAGGGGGCCUCCAUCCCUUUGCGAUGCGCCGGCUGCAGCUCCUCUCCACGCCGCCGGAGCAAACUCCAGCACACAGAAACCGCUCAGCCUCCGUCUUCCGCGCGGACGCCGUCUCCCGGCCCGCCGUCACCGUAGCGCGCGCAGCCUGCCAUCAAUGGCGACGGCCCACGCAGCCCCCAUCACCAUGGCCAGGACGUCCGCCUUCAAGGACGGCGGCACCACAUCCUCAACGAGCACAGCGGGAUAGAUCGACGCCGGACGCGACAUCGCCGUCGAGCAUCGCGAAUUGCCGGCGCGGUUACGCCGGCAAGGAAUUCGGUGCCGACGUAGCCGCUAUCUCCUUCCUUUCCAUGAAUGACGGCGAAAAUUGG